rnacentral:rRNA from 1 species
AGCCUACGGGAGGCAGCAGUGGGGGAUAUUGCACAAUGGGGGAAACCCUGAUGCAGCGACGCCGCGUGAGUGAAGAAGUAUUUCGGUAUGUAAAGCUCUAUCAGCAGGGAAGAAAAAAGACGGUACCUGACUAAGAAGCCCCGGCUAACUACGUGCCAGCAGCCGCGGUAAUACGUAGGGGGCAAGCGUUAUCCGGAUUUACUGGGUGUAAAGGGAGCGUAGACGGCAAUACAAGUCCGGAGUGAAAGCCCAUGGCUUAACCAUGGUACUGCUCUGGAAACUGUAGAGCUUGAGUGCGGGAGGGG